CAGAGAUAGCUAGCAUAACUAAGUAUAGAACAAAUAACAGGGGGCCUAGAAUAGAUGGAGAAGCUCUAUCUAGCAUUAACAUACUUCAUACUUAUUUAGUUCGAAUAGGGAAGCCCUAUUCGUCCUGAUAAAUAGAAAGGAGAUUACAACUUAACGAUCAAUUCUAUUAGGGAAGCCCUAAUAAAGAACAUAGGAAAGAGCAGAAUAAAGGGACA
rnacentral:lncRNA from 1 species